AGCCCGGGGAGGGAGAGGGAGGAGGGAGCCAGGGAGGGGGUUGUCCAAGGGAGGGGGACGGUCAGGGUCUCUGGGAAGUGCUGACGUGUGCCCGCGUGCGGUGUGUCGCUUCUGGGCGCGUGUGGGGCGUGUAGUGUGUUUCGUGUGUGGUGUGUGCAUGUGCGUGUGCGCGCGCGUGUGUGCGGGUGGGCCGUGUGCGUGUGCGCGCGGUUCGGGAUAAGCAGGGGCGCUGACUUUUAGGACUAGCCAUUUGAACCAAGCUGGAGGUGACGUCUUAGGCAGAACCGUGGAUGAGUCUCGUUUGGUUUUAGUCUACAAAGCUCUUCUGGAUCAGACAGGAAUUUUCCCCAGACGCGGGUGCACGUGAAUUAAUUCAUCAGAAGGCGGUUCACGGCUUGAGUGAGGGGGACGAGGGCGGCAAAUUCCUCCGCCUCAUUCCUACCCUGACGAUUCAAGGUGCUCGCUUCACCCCACGCAGGAGUAACUCAGUUUUGUGGGAUCCCACUGCCCUCCAGGUGCCGCUCCGAAUGCUCCACACAGCUUUUCAUUCAGUCCUUGCAGCUUGCUAAGAGGCGCUUGGGCCAGGUGAGGCAGGCCACCAGGCAGGCAGACAGGCCCCCCGUCUCCGUGUUGAGGGUGGGGAAGGGACUCUGUGAGGGCAGGCGAAUGCCCCAGCAGCAGGAACAUCAAGAGCAGAGGCCCUGGAGGAGACCCCCGGGAGCUGGCGCACAGAAAAGUCCCCAGGUAGGAGGGGCAGAGUGAGGGCAAUACCAUCAGGCAGCAGGUGCCCACCCAGAAGGGUCUUUGAGCCUUGCUGGGAAGUUCAGGCUUUACCCUGCAGAUAAGGGAUGAGGCCCUGCCUGGUGUGUCUGGAAGGAGCCCUGCCGCUGGGGAGCAGGUGGGUGGCUGCCCAUCACGGUGCAAUCACAGCUUUGCCUGCUCAUCUCCCCUGCCAUCUCCCAUCACUUCCUCACGCUCUGCAGAUGGUCAGUGAUGUUCCUGAGUGAGUGACAUUGGGUUGGCAGAGAGGGGAGGGGAGUCUGUGGCCCAGUCAUGCAGAGCUUCCUUGUGCAGUCUGUUGAGCUCACAGGGACCCUUCAAGAGCCCUUCUCUCUUAGGGUUGGCCUCUGCACUUGAGCUGGGUUCUGACACUUAAAAUCAGAAGUGGAAUUGGAAGCAGAAGCAGGCACAUGUGGAACGCUGAUUCCAUUGCUUUCUGGCAGAAUCCCGUCCCCCAGACCCACCUGUGAAACCUCCUCCUGACCCUUGACCCCACUCCAUGAGGGGACCUCAGGAAGCUGCAGGCUUGUCUGGUGAUUUUCGGGGCCCAGGGCUCAGGGCUCAGAGAGGGGCACCCACCUCAGAAAGAAGCACCACACUCAUGAGAAAUGACUUUGAUAGGUUGUUGGGGAAAGAGGAGUUAUUUUAAAAAUCACAGAGCCCAUCAUGUGCCAGCACGUUCACACAGGGCAUGUAGUCCCUGCAGCCGCCUCUGUGCUGGGGCCACGUCCUGUCCUAACGACAAGGAACCGAAGCCCAGAGACGGUGUCAAAAACACUCGUGAGGUUUUUUCUGAUUACAACAGCAAUUGUGUUAAUCCAAGAAUAUUUUUCCUAUCAAAUGUAAACUUUAUUUUAAUAUUUACAUAUUUAUGAGCAUUUAAAAUGCAGUCUCCUAGAAUAUUGACUUCAAUUAAUAUUGAAGUCAAUAUUAAUUGAAUUUGGCUGAUUCUAAUUAUUUUUACUAAUUUGUUUAUCACUUCACUUUUUAGUACUUUGGUUUUUUUGAGAUGGAGUCUUGCUGUCCCCCAGGCUGGAGUGCAGUGGUGUGAUCUCACCUCACUGCAAUCUCCACCUCCCGGGUUCAAGUGAUUCUCCUGCUUCAGCCUCCUGAGUAGCUGGGACUACAGGCACCUGCCACCACACCUAGCUAAUUUUUGUGUUUUUUAGUAGCGACGGGGUUUCACAUGUUGGCCAGGCUGGUCUCAAACUCCUGACUUCAGAUGAUCUGCCCACCUUAGCCUCCCAAAGUGCUGGGAUUACAGGCAUGAGCCAUGAGGACUGGCAUCUUUUUAGUACUUUUAUCCUUUAUUUGUCUAACGACCUAAAUACCCAACAUUUUAAAUUAUUAAUCUUCACCCUCUCUUCUCCGAGAACAAUCACUAUUGAUCUUCCACUGACACAGCCACAGUGUGUGCAUCUCUGUAACUCUGCACAGCUGGUGAUUUAUUGAAAGAACUUACUCGGAAAACCACAGCCAGUGAGUUCUUGGAGACACAAUAAUGCGCCUUAAUUAUUGGCUUAACAGCUUUUGUCUUGUGAAAUGUAAUGGAUCCACAGAAGCAUCAUAAAGUAUACAUGUAAUAGCCUAAUGACUUAUAAAUGAAUAUCUGUAUACUUCCCACCCAAAAAACAAGAAUAUCGCAGAAUUUGAGUACACAACCCACACAGCCUCCCUCCCACCAGAGCUUCUGCUGAGUUCAUGUGAAAUCACUUUCCUGCAUUUUUUUUUAUACUUUUAUCACCUUGACAUGCCUCCCUAACCGUUCUAGUUUGAUUUUGCCUGGUUUGUGAACUUUACAUUAAUGGAAUCAUAUCUGGCUUCUUUCAUUCAACUUUGUGUCUGCAAAAUGUUUCUGUGUUGCACGCAACGGUGGCUGAUUCAUCGCUGGUUACUGAUUCACUGCAUGAACACGACACAGUUUAUUAUCCACUUUGCUGCCGAUGAACAUUUAUUUCUAGCUUGGGAAUAUUAUGAAUAAAUUAUGAGCCUUCUUAUUUGUGUGCCCUGA